CUUCUGGACUCUGCUCUGUGCUCGGUAGAUGGAGCUUGUGUCCUGCUUCUCCUGGGCUUCCUGUCCUUGGGCUACAACUGGCUUCAGUCUGUGGAAGGAAAGAGCAGGAGAAUGAAGGAGGGAACUAGAAUUCUGCAGUGGAGCUUUCUGGAUUGAUAACAAAGCUCAACAUUGCCAGGUUUCUUCAUCAUUGGGAAAUGUGAUUCAGCUGUCCUGCCCCAGAGUGCCUGGUUAGCAUAGCAGAUCCAUCAGAGUCUGCAGAAGGGGAAAGUUUCCGCUCCUCAAGAGUGAUGUCAAGAUCUCCAGUUCUUUUGCUCGGUUCACUCAUGCUCCAGGAGUGUGGGAAUUUUGUCUUCAUCGGUAUAUUCUUCAUAGUAUGCUAAGUCACU